GCUGAACAAGAAGGUCCUCAGUGAAGGAAUCAAUUCUGCCGAACUACCGCUUGGGGACAGCACAGGACCACAAGUGUUUGCCUUGCCUGCUGAGGGACUCGCUCUGGCAUGUGGGCCUGAUCCUGAGGGGUCCUUUUCCUGUUUCCUGAACAACCACCAGAUCUUUGGAUUUAGCUCCUAGCAGCCCCAGGAGCACCCCCAGACAGACUUCCCGUGCUUGGGGCUGUUCUAGGCUCUCCAGAUCCACUGUCUUCUCCAUCGCCCUGUGCCCCACAAGGCUGAGCUGGGUGGCUGCCUCUGUGGGCUACCUGUGCUUUUGCUUCUGGUUGGGUAUGACCAAUGGAAGAGAGGGAGGAGUGAGAGAGGUGGGCAUUUACCCGCCAGCUCCCUCCUGGGGCUGCUGUAGCCUGGCUGUGUCCCUGCCCCAGGUGCCAGCUGCUUGUCAGGCAGCUCUCCCCGCUCAGCCCUUUCUGCCUCUGGGUUCUAACCCUCCCCGCUAGCAGCUCCCUCCCCUUGGACUGCCAGGCCUUGGGUGGUCACAGAUUCCAGCUGUCACUACUGUUCCCUCCCUUGAGAUCUCCCAAUACCCUGACCAUCCUUUGUGAAUGGUUCCUUUAUUAAACUCUCCCAGAAUUAUCCGAAUUUGAAUUUGUAACUAUUUCCUUCCGGGUCCCUGACUGGUAGAAAGAUCUUUGCUCUAUGUUGUACCCCUGAUCUAUCUUUGUAGCCCUCAAUCCCUUGGGACAGCCAGGUCAGGGACCAGAUGUCCAGGAACUCAGGCCAGAGCCCACUCCCAAUCUCCUUGGAGAACACCACAGAAGAAGUGGGGACCCUCCCCCAGGCCCCCCAAACACACCCACCGGGUACUCCAUCCUCAGGGAAUUGGGCACCAGGGGCCUACACAUUGUGUCUUUUUCUCCUUCAGCUUCGGGGCUUGAUGGAGGUAAGACAGUCAGCCAGAGAGGCUCAUCCCCACACAGGCCCCCGGUGACCAGGUAACUAGGUAACCAGACAAGUAUACAAUUAGACAACUAGGCAACCAGAUAACCAGACGACAGGCAACCAAACAACUAGAUAACCAGGCAACCAGGCAAGCCGACAAGUAGGCAGC
rnacentral:lncRNA from 1 species